GACGAACCGUGCGAACGUUGUUCGGAAUCACUGGGCUUAAAGGGCGCGUAGGCGGGCGGCCAAGUCAGGGGUGAAAGCCCCCAGCUCAACUGGGGAAGUGCCUUUGAUACUGGUCGUCUCGAGGGAGGUAGGGGCGUGCGGAACUUCCGGUGGAGCGGUGGAAUGCGUAGAUAUCGGAAGGAACGCCGGUGGCGAAAGCGGCGCGCUGGACCUCUUCUGACGCUGAGGCGCGAAAGCUAGGGGAGCAAACGGG
rnacentral:rRNA from 1 species